GCCGGGUGUAUUGGUGUAUGCCUGUAAUCCCAGCUACUCAGGAGGCUGAGGCAGAAGAAUUGCUUGAACCCAGGAGGCGGAGGUUGCAGUGAGCUGAGAUCGCGCCACUGAACUCCAGCCUGGGCAACAGAGUGAGACUCUGUCUCAA
ensembl:misc_RNA Metazoa_SRP Metazoan signal recognition particle RNA